CAGUCGCCACGGUAAAACGAGGGGAGCUAGCGUUAUUCGGAAUUACUGGGCGUAAAGCGCACGUAGGCGGCUUUGUAAGUUAGAGGUGAAAGCCCGGAGCUCAACUCUGGAAUUGCCUUUAAGACUGCAUCGCUUGAAUCCAGGAGAGGUGAGUGGAAUUCCGAGUGUAGAGGUGAAAUUCGUAGAUAUUCGGAAGAACACCAGUGGCGAAGGCGGCACACUGGACUGGUAUUGACGCUGAGGUGCGAAAGCGUGGGGAGCAAACAGGAUUAGAUACCCGUGUAGUCCCUGUCUCUUAUAC
rnacentral:rRNA from 1 species